rnacentral:rRNA from 1 species
CAGGAAGUGCUUGCACUUCGCUGACGAGUGGCGGACGGGUGAGUAAUACUUAGGGAUCUGCCUUCGAGUGGGGGACAACCAUUGGAAACGAUGGCUAAUACCGCAUAACGUCUACGGACCAAAGUGGGCUUCGGCUCACGCUUGAAGAGGAACCUAAGCGAGAUUAGCUAGUUGGUGAGGUAAGGGCUCACCAAGGCGACGAUCUCUAGCUGUUCUGAGAGGAAGAUCAGCCACACUGGGACUGAGACACGGCCCAGACUCCUACGGGAGGCAGCAGUGGGGAAUAUUGCACAAUGGGGGAAACCCUGAUGCAGCCAUGCCGCGUGUGUGAAGAAGGCCUUCGGGUUGUAAAGCACUUUCAGUUGUGAGGAAAGGUUGGUAGUUAAUACCUGCCAGCUGUGACGUUAACAACAGAAGAAGCACCGGCUAACUCCGUGCCAGCAGCCGCGGUAAUACGGAGGGUGCGAGCGUUAAUCGGAAUUACUGGGCGUAAAGCGCACGCAGGCGGUUUGUUAAGCUAGAUGUGAAAGCCCCGGGCUCAACCUGGGAUGGUCAUUUAGAACUGGCAGACUAAGUCUUGGAGAGGGGAGUGGAAUUCCAGGUGUAGCGGUGAAAUGCGUAGAGAUCUGGAGGA